rnacentral:lncRNA from 1 species
CCCAGGGGCAAGAGCUAACACUAUCAUAUUGUGUCUUGAUUUAUGAAAUAUCCUAUAACUCUUACCUUAAAGGCAAAACUUAUUUCAAAGGACUUCCAAACAACAAGUCGCACCAUUAAAUUUACUCUGAUGUCAAAAAAAAUCUUCUUUACUAUUAUCCAACUUUUUUGUUCAUUAAUAAAAAAAAUAAGAAGUUGAGUAAAAAGCAAAAAGAGAAAGAAAAAAAGAAAAAAAAG